GAGGUAUAUUUACUAGAGGAGCUAUCACGUGACUUUGGGUAUGCUAAACACGACUCCAUCUUGACACAGUCAUUCAACCAUUGAACACAGACCCGCAAUGCCAUGUCACUGUGCAGCGUUGUCUUGCAGCAAUCGUAGUGAAAAAUGUUUGUACCUCAUAACAUUUCAUCMUGUCAUCUUUGUUUUUAAAACUAAAUGUGCAAUCCUGUCCUUGCACACAUCCACUCGUGCUACAGCAGGUGAAUACUGUCUUUGACAUCUUCAAUUCAAGAAAUCUACACUGCAGUGUUUUCAAACAUCCAAUAUGCCAGAGCAACUGCUUGGAAGUAGGUACUUAAGUGUGUUUGGCUUCAUUGUCAACAUGGAGAGUUUGUUCAGAUUGGUACCAGAAGUUCUAGCCAAUCAAAGUUUCUUUUUAACUUACAAGUUGAGACAAGAUCCCUUGGAGCUGUUCUUCAGUGCWGUACGCAYAGCGGGUAAGUUAUAAUUUGCUUUCAGUUUCAAGUGUACUUUUGGGCUAUGAUUUGUGAAACAUAGUUGUUAACAGGCCUAGUGAUAUUUAGGAUGUGUGAUUAUGCAGGUGGAUUUAACAACAACCCAAGCUGUCGUCAGUGCAUGGCAAUCUUCUGUAAAAUGAUUGUGCACAGUGGGGUAUCACUAUCUGAAGCUGGAAAUGUUGUCUCCGUGGACAGCACACAGUGUCUCCGGGUCAAUGAUGUCAUGCCACACAAAGCAGCUGAGUCUACUUUUAUGGACAACAAUGUAGAGUCUUACGUCUUACAUCCUUCUCAUGACUUAGUUAUGAGGAACUGAGAGUUCUUUAAUACAGAUAAUAAAACCUUUUCUGUGUCAUUAUCAGGAAUUAAACCAAUGAGUAACGUAGUCAGUAAAGUUUGAUCUAAAA